GGACGAACGCUGGCGGCGUGCCUAAUACAUGCAAGUCGAGCGAGCAGAACCAGCAGAUUUACUUCGGUAAUGACGCUGGGGACGCGAGCGGCGGAUGGGUGAGUAACACGUGGGGAACCUGCCCCAUAGUCUGGGAUACCACUUGGAAACAGGUGCUAAUACCGGAUAAGAAAGCAGAUCGCAUGAUCAGCUUAUAAAAGGCGGCGUAAGCUGUCGCUAUGGGAUGGCCCCGCGGUGCAUUAGCUAGUUGGUAAGGUAACGGCUUACCAAGGCGAUGAUGCAUAGCCGAGUUGAGAGACUGAUCGGCCACAUUGGGACUGAGAUACGGCCCAGACUCCUACGGGAGGCAGCAGUCGGGAAUAUUGCGCAAUGGAGGAAACUCUGACGCAGUGACGCCGCGUAUGGGAAGAAGGUUUUCGGAUUGUAAACCAUUUUAGACAGGGAAGAAAAAAGACAGUACCUGUAAAAUAAGCUCCGGCUACUACGUGCCAGCAGCCGCGGUAAUUC
rnacentral:rRNA from 1 species